GUAUCAUUCUAAGCUUUGCGAUAUCAUCAAGUUCAUCCCGUGCUUUGUCGCUUGACAAGCGCUUGACAGACAAAAUGUCCACUUGUGAUUAUACGCGUAGCGUUCGAGACAACUGCCGAUUAGCAGACAACAAGCAACAAGUUCUAGAACCUACGCCUCACUGACUUAAUAGAGUAUGUUACCAUCCAGUUUUUGACCAGCAACAACGGCAACAACCAGCAGCAGCGGUAGCUACACGUGGUCGAGAAGAGAUACUGGUAAUACAACUAUGAGCGCGUAUUUUAGACCAACAACCUCUCGACCUUUUAAAAUAACAAAAGCAACACAAUAAAACAUACGGGAUAUAGAUUAUAGAACUAUGCUGAAAAUACCGUAUUUGUUUUAUAUAAAUUCAGACCUACUGUGGGUACGAAAUCCAAUUUGUCUUUAGACCAGGAUAGAUAAUUAAAAAACAAAACAAAUUGCCAACAGAUAGUACAGAAUUGAAAAAUUCGUUUUUUUUUUU